rnacentral:rRNA from 1 species
AUUGAACGCUGGCGGCAGGCUUAACACAUGCAAGUCGAGCGGAUGAGGAGAGCUUGCUCUUCGAUUCAGCGGCGGACGGGUGAGUAAUGCCUAGGAAUCUGCCUGGUAGUGGGGGACAACGUUUCGAAAGGAACGCUAAUACCGCAUACGUCCUACGGGAGAAAGCAGGGGACCUUCGGGCCUUGCGCUAUCAGAUGAGCCUAGGUCGGAUUAGCUAGUUGGUGAGGUAAUGGCUCACCAAGGCGACGAUCCGUAACUGGUCUGAGAGGAUGAUCAGUCACACUGGAACUGAGACACGGUCCAGACUCCUACGGGAGGCAGCAGUGGGGAAUAUUGGACAAUGGGCGAAAGCCUGAUCCAGCCAUGCCGCGUGUGUGAAGAAGGUCUUCGGAUUGUAAAGCACUUUAAGUUGGGAGGAAGGGCAGUAAGUUAAUACCUUGCUGUUUUGACGUUACCGACAGAAUAAGCACCGGCUAACUCUGUGCCAGCCGCCGCGGUAAUAC